rnacentral:piRNA from 4 species
CCACGCGGGAGGCCCGGGUUCGAUUCCCGG